rnacentral:rRNA from 1 species
GACACUUUGUGUUGUUGGUUGGUGUGCGUCGUGGGGCCUGAUGUGUGGUUCAAGCGAUGGGGUGACACAGUGGGGUAGCCAUGCCACUUACUGGAUUGUUGGUGUAAGCGUGUAGCUUGGGGUGUAGGUAAAUCCGCAUCCUUUUAGGUGAGACGUGAUGCGUAGCCUUAAUUGGUGAAGUUGGUGAUCCCGUGCUGUCGAGAAAAGCCUCUAGCGAUGUAUAUACUCGGCCCGUACCCCAAACCGACACAGGUAGUCAGGUUGAAAAUACUAAGGCGUUCGGGUGAACUGUGGUUAAGGAACUCGGCAAAAUGCCCCCGUAACUUCGGGAGAAGGGGGACCCUAUGGCGUUAACACUCUUUGCGGUGGUAAGCGUUGUGGGGUCGCAGAGAAUAGAGGGGAGCGACUGUUUAUCAAAAACACAGGUCCAUGCGAAGACGUUAAGUUGAUGUAUAUGGACUGACGCCUGCCCGGUGCUGGAAGGUUAAGAGGACCGGUUAGUUCAUCUUUGAUGGGCGAAGCUGAGAAUUUAAGCCCCAGUAAACGGCGGUGGUAACUAUAACCAUCCUAAGGUAGCGAAAUUCCUUGUCGGGUAAGUUCCGACCUGCACGAAUGGCGUAACGACUCCCCUGCUGUCUCAACCACAGGCCCGGUGAAAUUGCACUACGAGUAAAGAUGCUCGUUACGCGCGGCAGGACGAAAAGACCCCGGGACCUUCACUAUAGCUUGGUAUUGGUGUUCGGUUCGGUUUGUGUAGGAUAGGUGGGAGACUGUGAAGCUAUCACGCCAGUGGUGGUGGAGUCGUUGUUGAAAUACCACUCUGAUCGGAUUGGAUACCUUAACCUUGGCCCAUGAUCUGGGUUGGGGACAGUGCCUGGUGGGUAGUUUAACUGGGGCGGUUGCCUCCCAAAAUGUAACGGAGGCGCCCAAAGGUUCCCUCAGCCUGGUUGGCAAUCAGGUGGUGAGUGUAAGUGCACAAGGGAGCUUGACUGUGAGAGUGACAGCUCGAACAGGGACGAAAGUCGGGACUAGUGAUCCGGCACCUACUUGUGGAUGUGGUGUCGCUCAACGGAUAAAAGGUACCCCGGGGAUAACAGGCUGAUCUUCCCCAAGAGUCCAUAUCGACGGGAUGGUUUGGCACCUCGAUGUCGGCUCGUCGCAUCCUGGGGCUGGAGUAGGUCCCAAGGG